rnacentral:rRNA from 1 species
GAAACGACUGCUAAGACUGGAUAGGAAAAGUGAAGGCGUCUUUACUUUUUUAAAAGACCUUCUUUGAAGGUAUGCUUAAGGAGGGGCUUGCGACACAUUAGUUAGUUGGCAGGGUAAAGGCCUACCAAGACUAUGAUGUGUAGCUGGACUGAGAGGUUGAACAGCCACAUUGGGACUGAGACACGGCCCAAACUCCUACGGGAGGCAGCAGUAGGGUAUUUUCGGCAAUGGAGGAAACUCUGACCGAGCAACGCCGCGUGAACGAUGAAGUACCUCGGUAUGUAAAGUUCUUUUAUUAAGGAAGAAAAAAGAGUGGAAAAACUCCCUUGACGGUACUUAAUGAAUAAGCCCCGGCUAAUUAUGUGCCAGCAGCCGCGGUAAUACAUAAGGGGCGAGCGUUAUCCGGAAUUAUUGGGCGUAAAGGGUGCGUAGGCGGUUUAAUAAGUCUAUAGUUUAAUUUCAGCGCUUAACGCUGUUGUGCUAUAGAAACUGUUUUACUAGAGUGAGAUAGAGGCAAGCGGAAUUCCAUGUGUAGCGGUAAAAUGCGUAAAUAUAUGGAGGAACACCAGAGGCGUAGGCGGCUUGCUGGGUCUUUACUGACGCUGAGGCACGAAAGCGUGGGGAGCAAACAGGAUUAGAUACCCUGGUAGUCCACGCUGUAAACGAUGAGUACUAAGUGUCGGGUAAAACCGGUACUGAAGUUAACACAUUAAGUACUCCGCCUGAGGAGUACGUACGCAAGUAUGAAACUUAAAGGAAUUGACGGGACUCCGCACAAGCGGUGGAUCAUGUUGUUUAAUUCGAAGAUACACGAAAAACCUUACCAGGUCUUGACAUUUUCUUGCGAAGUUAUAGAAAUAUAAUGGAGGUUAUCAGGAAAACAGGUGGUGCAUGGUUGUCGUCAGCUCGUGUCGUGAGAUGUUAGGUUAAGUCCUAAAACGAGCGCAACCCUUGUCGUUAAUUGCCAGCAUGUAAUGAUGGGGACUUUAACGAGACUGCCAAUGAAAAAUUGGAGGAAGGUGGGGAUUACGUCAAAUCAUCAUGCCCCUUAUGAUCUGGGCUACAAACGUGAUACAAUGGUUGAUACAAAGAGUAGCUGAAACGCGAGUUCUUAGCCAAUCUCACAAAAUCAAUCUCAGUUCGGAUUGAAAUCUGCAACUCGACUUCAUGAAGUUGGAAUCGCUAGUAAUCGUGAAUCAGCAUGUCGCGGUGAAUACGUUCUCGGGGUUUGUACACACCGCCCGUCA